AUCACCCUCCUUGUAUCUCCUUCUUCGGCUAUAACAAACAUCAAUUGACCACCCUGUCAUAACCGUUGAACACCGGCUGACCAACAUUGUGCCGCCGCCAAAAAUCGCCUCACGGAGGAGGCUAGCAACCAAAGUGUCCAAAAUUAACACCACGUAACCAGCGUGACCUCCUCUACCCCAUCCCAUGGCCACUUUCCUUUGAACAUAACUCUUCUAUCUCGAAUAUCCCCUGGAAGGUUGCCGGAAACCCUACCUCCGGCGAUCCCACUCCAAAGCCUUCAAAAUUUACACCAUUAAAACACCUUGAUCCCCUCUUUCCAACCAUGCAUGUCAUCACUCUCAAAUCACCCUGAAGCUCAUCGAAUUUCAGUUUGAAGCUUAACCCUAAAUCCCCAAACAUGCCGGAAAAGCCUCAAAACCCUCAUAGAAAAUCCCUUAUUCCCCUUGACCCCAACCAUG
rnacentral:lncRNA from 1 species